rnacentral:rRNA from 1 species
GCUCGUAGUUGGAUUUCGGUUGAGACGGCCGGUCCGCCGUUUGGUGUGCACUGGGUGGUCUCAACUUCCUGUAGAGGACGCGCUCUGGGUUAACGCUCGGACGCGGAGCUACGUGGUUACUUUGAAAAAAUUAGAGUGUUCAAAGCGGGCUUACGGUUGAAUAUUUCAGCAUGGAAUAACACUAUAGGACUCCUGUCCUAUUUCGUUGGUCUCGGGACGGGAGGUAUGAUUAAGAGGAACAGUUGGGGGCAUUCGUAUUUCAUUGUCAGAGGUGAAAUUCUUGGAUUUAUGAAAGAAGAACUUCUGCGAAAGAUUUGCCAAGGAUGUUUUCAUUAAUCAAGAACGGAAGUUGGGGGCUCGGAGAUCAAUAGAUACCAUCCUAGACUCAACGAUAAACGAUGCCGACUAGGG